AUUGAACGCUGGCGGCAGGCCUAACACAUGCAAGUCGAACGGUAACAGGGAUCAGCCUGCUGAUUCGCUGACGAGUGGCGGACGGGUGAGUAAUGUCUGGGAAACUGCCUGAUGGAGGGGGAUAACUACUGGAAACGGUAGCUAAUACCGCAUAACGUCGCAAGACCAAAGAGGGGGACCUUCGGGCCUCUUGCCAUCGGAUGUGCCCAGAUGGGAUUAGCUAGUAGGUGGGGUAACGGCUCACCUAGGCGACGAUCCCUAGCUGGUCUGAGAGGAUGACCAGCCACACUGGAACUGAGACACGGUCCAGACUCCUACGGGAGGCAGCAGUGGGGAAUAUUGCACAAUGGGCGCAAGCCUGAUGCAGCCAUGCCGCGUGUAUGAAGAAGGCCUUCGGGUUGUAAAGUACUUUCAGCGGGGAGGAAGGGAGUAAAGUUAAUACCUUUGCUCAUUGACGUUACCCGCAGAAGAAGCACCGGCUAACUCCGUG
rnacentral:rRNA from 1 species